AUGCUGCGCGAGAAACGAAAAAAUGAGUCGGUCUCUCAGGAGCUUCGGCCCAGACUGACUAGCCAGCAAGGCCAUCCGCCUGUCUCAGUCUCCCAGCUCUGGAGUUACAGACAUGCACUAUCAUGUCUGGCUUUUUACGUAUGAAUAUGCAGCACCGCAUUAUACCCUGGGCAGAUGAUGGACUUGUGCUCUAUAAUCACUAUCUGUCAAAAUAAAAACAAAAGAAAAGCCUCAGAACUAUCUUCAAUGCUCUAAAGGUAAUAUCCCAAGCAGUAACAGUCCUCACUUUCUUUUACUCUACUUCUACCUUGUUAUUUUGUUGCUAGGAUACUUCAAGUUGUCCAACCUCAGCUCUACGAUACCCAGUGCCCUGUAUGGAAACGGGCAAGGGCCUGGUAGAUGUCAGUUCACCAGGCAGACUAGGAAGCCGACACUGUGCAUUACCCAUGGAACACAGGAGCACAUUACCUAGACGUGAGCUUCCCAUAGCUUAACCAUUUCUCAAUACUCAAGGCAG
rnacentral:lncRNA from 7 species